GACAGAGGGUGCAAACGUUGUUCGGAAUUACUGGGCGUAAAGCGCGUGUAGGCGGCGGUGCAAGUCGGGUGUGAAAGCCCUGGGCUCAACCCAGGAAGUGCAUUCGAUACUGCGCUGCUAGAGUCCCGGAGAGGAUGGUGGAACUCUCGGUGUAGAGGUGAAGUUCGUAGAUAUGGGGAGGAACACCGGUGGCGAAGGCGGCCAUCUGGACGGAUACUGACGCUGAGACGCAAAAGCGUGGGGAGCAAACAGG
rnacentral:rRNA from 1 species